GGACAUGAGGGUGAUGUGGCUACAACACCUAGCACCCCAUUGAUCACCAGGGUUGAUUUGGCUAAUCUUGCCAGUUAGGUGAAUGUCCCCUGCCUCCCUCACUGAUCCAUGUAUGUCCCUCCUAAAGCUGCACACUCUGUUCUAAGAAUCGUUCUCCAGUCAAAAGUGUAUGAGGAAAAAAAAGUGUAUGAGUAAUGCACUCCCCUGGUAGAACUCUCAGGCAGCAUGUGUAGGACAACAUGAGUUAGCCAAACUUCCAAGACUGAAGACAUAUCAAAUGAGGCACUGCAGGUGCCAGACUGCCUUU
rnacentral:snRNA from 1 species